UGACGCCGACCACAUUACAUCCGUCCCAC
rnacentral:sRNA from 1 species